rnacentral:rRNA from 1 species
AGAGUUUGAUCCUGGCUCAGAGCGAACGCUGGCGGCAUGCUUAACACAUGCAAGUCGCACGGUCGGGCUUCGGUCCGGCAGUGGCGGACGGGUGAGUAACGCGUAGGUAUCUAUCCUUGGGUGGGGGACAACCGCGGGAAACUGCGGCUAAUACCGCAUGACGAGCCUGGUUGGGAGACCGGGUUCCAAAGCUCAUUGAG